rnacentral:rRNA from 1 species
CCUACGAGUGGCAGCAGUGAGGAAUAUUGGUCAAUGGACGAGAGUCUGAACCAGCCAAGUAGCGUGAAGGAUGACUGCCCUAUGGGUUGUAAACUUCUUUUAUAUGGGAAUAAAUUGUUCCACGUGUGGGAUUUUGUAUGUACCAUAUGAAUUAGGAUCGGCUAACUCCGUGCCAGCAGCCGCGGUAAUACGGAGGUUGCGAGCGUUAUCCGGAUUUAUUGGGUUUAAAGGGAGCGUAGGUGGAUUGUUAAGUUAGUUGUGAAAGUUUGCGGCUCAACCGUAAAAAUGCAGUUGAAACUGGCAGUCUUGAGUACAGUAGAGGUGGGCGGAAUUCGUGGUGUAGCGGUGAAAUGCUUAGAUAUCACGAAGAACUCCGAUUGCGAAGGCAGUUCACUGGACUGCAACUGACACUGAGGCACGAAGGUGUGGGUAUCAAACAGGAUUAGAUACCCCAGUAGUC